rnacentral:rRNA from 1 species
UACGGAGGGUGCAAGCGUUGUCCGGAUUUAUUGGGUUUAAAGGGUGCGUAGGCGGCCCUGUAAGUCAGUGGUGAAAUACUGCAGCUUAACUGUAGCAUUGCCAUUGAUACUGUAGGGCUUGAGUACAGAUGAGGUAGGCGGAAUUGAUGGUGUAGCGGUGAAAUGCAUAGAUACCAUCAAGAACACCGAUUGCGAAGGCAGCUUACUAAGCUGU